AGCGAACGCUGGCGGCAGGCCUAACACAUGCAAGUCGAACGAUGUCUUCGGACUUAGUGGCGGACGGGUGAGUAACACGUGGGAACGUACCUUUUGGUUCGGAACAACUCAGGGAAACUUGAGCUAAUACCGGAUGAGCCCUUAGGGGGAAAGAUUUAUCGCCGAAAGAGCGGCCCGCGUUAGAUUAGCUAGUUGGUGAGGUAAAGGCUCACCAAGGCUACGAUCUAUAGCUGGUCUGAGAGGAUGAUCAGCCACACUGGGACUGAGACACGGCCCAGACUCCUACGGGAGGCAGCAGUGGGGAAUCUUGCGCAAUGGGCGAAAGCCUGACGCAGCCAUGCCGCGUGAAUGAUGAAGGUCCUAGGAUUGUAAAAUUCUUUUACCAGGGACGAUAAUGACGGUACCUGGAGAAAAAGCCCCGGCUAACUUCGUGCCAGCCGCCGCUGUAAUAC
rnacentral:rRNA from 1 species